rnacentral:rRNA from 1 species
AAUAUUGCACAAUGGGGGAAACCCUGAUGCAGCGACGCCGCGUGAGCGAAGAAGUAUUUCGGUAUGUAAAGCUCUAUCAGCAGGGAAGAAAAAAAUGACGGUACCUGACUAAGAAGCCCCGGCUAACUACGUGCCAGCAGCCGCGGUAAUA